CCAACGUGGGCAUCCCGUGAGGUUGCUCUCAUGGGCCCUGCCCUGGUGGCGUAUGGGAGCAUAGCAUUUUACCGUGCAAUAAUGUAUAUUCCCCUUCCACAACGUUGGAGAGCAAUGCGUGUCCCCGGGCCCUAUGGUCUGGUGUAGACAGCGUCCUGUAUAUUCCUACAACUUCCUAGAGCCUUCGGGCAGUGACUGGGGAGACAAACCAUGCAGGAUACAUUA